CCUUGUCCACUGCAGGCCGGUGUCAGGAACUCGGGGUCCCUGGGUGCCAAACAGAUCUCCAGUUGUGAAUGGAGCGCAGGACAUCCAGGAGGGCAAGAAAGUGUACCUACUGCUCUCAUCUCGCGCCCGGACUCGUCCUUCUCUGGGCCAGCUGGGCAUACUUGGGCCAAGUCUUUUGAACCCCCGGCCUUAGCACCUCUGUGGAAGUUCCAUCAGUGGCAAACUGUGCCCGCUGCAUGUUCACAAGUGCAUACCGCGCGCCGGUCCAGCCGGAGCCAGGGACUCUCUCAAGGGGGCGAUCCGGCCUUCGUGUUUUGGCGCUCCCCAUGUGGAAAAUGGCCACCCUUGGGCGCUCAGAGAGGCGUCUGAGAGCGGGCAGCCAUAUGUGGGUCUCUCCUGCCAGACCAGGGGGCGGAGAAGGAAAGCUGGUUCCCAGCCAGGACUCGCUCCUGCUUGGACUCCUGUCUGAAAAAGUCCACAAUGGCUGCCCGACAGAGACUGCCUAGUAGCUCAGGUUCCCACGCUCCCGAGGAUUAUCCCGACUCACUCCAAGUGCCAGCCUUCUGGGAAACCAAGUGGGUAAUUGAUGGAAGGCGAAUGGAUUGGUGUUUGCAAAGUCCAAGUCCAGAGGAUGUCUAGAAGGUAAAUUUGGUAGCACCAAGACUGGCUUAGCAACAGGUCCAUCUGCCUCUGGGGUUACUCUCGGACAUUCAACUCAAUAGCCCUCUGUUUUUAAAUCCUGUCAGGAUCGCCUUUCCUUCUUGCACUCCUGGAGGUCGUUGGAAUCUCAGGGACCUCUCUGGAACCAAGACUGCCCUUCUUAUGCACACCUAAUGUGUAGCUCAGCAAUUUCAUAGAACCCCCACGCCAUGCUUGGCCCCGCCCCCAAAUGGCAAGGAUUGUUUGGUUGGGUGGGUAAGAGGACAAGCAGUGUCAAGGAGGAAGAUGGGACAUUUUUGGCGCUGGUGGUGAGCUGAAGGCAGAGGAAAAGAUCAAGACCUAAGCCAUCAGAUACCUGAAUGUCUUGCUCCUGCAUGCGAAAGCCCGACUUGCAAUUCGCUGCCCACCUCACUGUUUUCUGUGUCAUUUUCAUUGAUUGCGAGUCUGGUCUCUGGGAUGUUAAUCGCCCCGCGAUAGGAAAGGUAAGGUGGGACUCUGUGUAGGCUGCAGAUACAGUCCUGGGGUCAUGGGGUGUGUCCCAUGCAUAGUGUCAGCCGGUGGAGAUACCCCCAUCUUUACCUCCACCCCCACUCCGUGGAGGAGAAAACUUGUGGUCAGCAGCGAGCAGCUGAUGGCCACAAUGGGAAGCUAA